rnacentral:rRNA from 1 species
UACGAAGGGGGCUAGCGUUGCUCGGAAUCACUGGGCGUAAAGGUGCGUAGGCGGGUCUUUAAGUCAGGGGUGAAAUCCUGGAGCUCAACUCCAGAACUGCCUUUGAUACUGAGGAUCUUGAGUUCGGGAGAGGUGAGUGGAACUGCGAGUGUAGAGGUGAAAUUCGUAGAUAUUCGCAAGAACACCAGUGGCGAAGGCGGCUCACUGGCCCGAUACUGACGCUGAGGCACGAAAGCGUGGGGAGCAAACAGG